GCUCAGAGUAUAAGCCAAUGGAGCUUGGAAGGCUUCCGCAGAUGGUGUUCAUCAUACGUGGUGUUCUUAAGACCUUGAGUGUGGCUCGUCAGGCGAAGCAUUUGAGUAUGCCGACCAGCUGUCGUGCGGGGGUUCGGCUUGGAGGUCUUAGGCUUCGGCCGAAGGGCUUCCGGCUGUCCCUUUUGAAUGGACGUUCAGAGCUCUUGUGUCUAAUGCGGUUAUGCCCACCACAGCACGUUGUGAGGUCACCCACAGGCUCAAACUGCCGAUCGCGUAUCCAGGACGAUGGCAACGAUGCGUUGUUGAGGAUGGCUCGAGAGAGUCUUCACUCACACGCGUGUCUAGUCCUGGGUCGGGCGGCGACCGAGAUAAACCUGGUACGAUCCUCUUGCGACGAGCUGCUUUCUGGCCAGACCGACGCCCAGGCGCUUCCACUGUGCCGGAAGCGUCAAUCCCAGGCGGUGUGAACCCAGCUGCAUUAUGCAAGGUCUCUCAGCCGGGCGUUGGUCUGAGUGGUGUUAAGUCCAGCACCAUCGGUCACGUCUCGAAACACGGGCCAAGGAGUAUAGCAUGUGUGCAAGUCUAAGGGUCUCACAAAACCCGAAGGCGAAGUGAAAGCAAGACUGUGGCGGGGGAGCUACGGCAAACCCGCCGGCCUAGUGGCGCGUGCGUCGCCUGGCUUUUAGCAGAGCUGAUCCUGUUUUCUCGGUUAAUUCUUGGUGCAGGCGCAAGCUCCGGGCUCACGUACAACACUGGUCACCGCCUUCGUG
rnacentral:rRNA from 1 species